rnacentral:rRNA from 1 species
AGGACGAACGCUUGCGGCGUGCCUAAGAAAUGCAAGUCGAACGGGGGCUUCGGCCCUAGUGGCGAACGGUCGCGUAACACGUGGGCAACCUGCCCCGAAGCGGGGGACAACGGUUCGAAAGAGCCGCUAAUACCGCAUGUGGUCUCUUGGGGCAUCCCUUGAGUCCAAAGGCGAAAGUCGCUUCGGGAUGGGCCCGCGGCCUAUCAGCUAGUUGGAGGGGUAACGGCCCACCAAGGCUUCGACGGGUAGCUGGUCUGAGAGGACGACCAGCCGGAUUGGGACUGAGAUACGGCCCAGACUCCUACGGGGGGCAGCAAUUAGGAAUCUUGCACAAUGGGCGAAAGCCUGAUGCAGCGACGCCGCGUGAGGGAUGACUGCCUUCGGGUUGUAAACCUCUUUCAGCAGGGACGAAGCGAAAGUGACGGUACCUGCAGAAGAAGCACCGGCCAACUACGUGCCAGCAGCCGC